rnacentral:rRNA from 1 species
AACGAACGCUGGCGGCAUGCCUAACACAUGCAAGUCGAACGAGACCUUCGGGUCUAGUGGCGCACGGGUGCGUAACGCGUGGGAAUCUGCCCUUGGGUUCGGAAUAACAGUUGGAAACGACUGCUAAUACCGGAUGAUGACGUAAGUCCAAAGAUUUAUCGCCCAAGGAUGAGCCCGCGUAGGAUUAGCUAGUUGGUGAGGUAAAGGCUCACCAAGGCGACGAUCCUUAGCUGGUCUGAGAGGAUGAUCAGCAACCCUGGGACUGAGAGCCGGCCCAAAUUCCUCGGGAUGGAGGAAGGGGGGAAUGUGGAACAUUGGGGGAAGGCUGAACCAACCAUGCCGGUUGAAUUAUGGAAGCCUUAAGGUUUUAAAGUGUAUUUAACCGGGAAGGUUAUGACCGUACCGGGAGAAAAAGCCACGGCUAACUCCGUG